UUUACUACGGAGGCCCACGACGCCCAGGCGCUUCCGCGGCCACCCGGAGUGAUUGGCGGGCGGAGGGCGUUAUCAAAUUGAGAAUCUGAUGGCAUGGCAUUAAUCACCUUGAGGAAGAACCUUUAUCGUUUAUCUGAUUUUCGGAUGCAUGGAGCUGCUUUGAAAAGUCAACCUCUAAAUCAUGUUCACAAGGUAGUCAAGGAGCGUCUGUGCCCUUGGUUCUGUUCACGACAACCUGAGCCUUUCAGGAUCAGGUUCCAUCAUGCCCAUUGUAAAAAGUUUAAUUCGAAAAAUGGAAAUGACCUUCGUCCACUCAGUGGGCCAGUAUUCUCUCAAAUAUCUGACUGGGUCAGGCUUGAACAAAAUGUUAAAAAUGGGGAGAGUCAGACGUUUUACAAGAGACUGAGCAACUUGACUUCAUCAGAAGAAGUGCUAAGUUUUAUAAGCACGAUGGAAACCCUGCCUGACACUAUGGCAGCAGGAGCUUUACAACGAAUUUGUGAAGUGGAAAAAAAGGAUGGUGAUCAAGGGUUGCCAAAAGAAAUACUGGAGAAUAGCAUCUUUCAAGCUUUAUGCUUUCAGUUGGAAAAGGAACCCUCACAGCUGUCAAACACUACUUUGGUGACUGCUUUGCAAGCUCUGAUUCUGUUGCAUGUGGAUCCUCAAAGUAGCCUGUUACUGAACCUGGUGGCAGAAUGCCAAAAUCGUCUCAAAAAAGGUGGCCUGGAAGUUCGCAAUCUUUGUAUUCUUGGGGAGAGUCUGAUUAGACUGCACAGUUCGGGUUGCUUGACACUAGAACUGAUUAUAAAUCAACUGCAAGGUGAAAAAUUGGAAACAUUUACCCCAGAGGAUAUUGUGGCCCUUUAUAGAAUCUUGCAGGCAUGUGCUGAAAAAGUGGAUGAACGCCAAACAUUUUUAAAUAAGAUAAACAACUUUUCCCUUUCAAUAGUUUCCAACCUGAGUCCUAAAUUGAUUAGCCAAAUGCUCACUGCCCUGGUGGUUCUUGAUCAAAGUCAAGCAUUUCCUCUGAUUAUAAAAUUGGGCAGAUAUGUCGUGAGGCAUGUCCCACAUUUCACUAACGAGGAGCUUAGGAGAGUCUUGGAGGCGUUCUUGUAUUUUGGGUACCAUGACAGAUUUUUUACAAAAGCCCUAGAGAAUCGUGUAACUGUGGUGUGCCUCACGUUGGAUCCUGAAGUUGUCUGCGGAGUCAUGGAGUACUGCGGUAGAAAACGGAUUCUUUCAAAACCCAUCCUCAAUGCAGUGGCAGAAACUUUUGUUUGCCAAUCAGAAAAAUUUUCACCUAGUCAGAUUUCUGCAUUAAUAGAACCAUUUGGGAAACUCAAUUAUUUGCCACCAAAUGCCUCUGCUUUAUUUAGAAAGCUGGAAAAUGUGCUAUUCACUCAUUUCGAUUCUUUUCCACCUGAAACAUUAUUGAAACUUCUUCAUUCAUGUUCACUGAAUGAAUGCCAUCCAGUCAACUUUAUGGCAAAAAUAUUCAACCCUUUUUUCCUUCAACGGCUGCAAGGUGAAGAAUCUCGUUUGGACAGAUUGAGUCGGGCACGACUGACCCAACUUUUCUUAACCUCAGUCCUAGAAUGCCCUUUCUAUAAGGGUCCAAAACUCCUUCACAAAUAUCAAGUGAAGUCAUUUGUUACCCCAUGCUGUUCCCUGGAGACCCCUAUGGAUUCUCAGCUUUAUAAAUCUGUGAAGAUUGGGCUGAUUGACCUUUUAGGAGCAAGAUUAUAUUUUGCUCCAAAAGUGUUGACACCCUAUUGUUAUACAGUAGCCUUCAGUCCAAUUGAUCAGUGCAAUAUGGAAGGAAUCAAAGCAGAGCAAAGGAAUGAAUACAGGAAGAUAGUGUUUGUGAGGGUAUCACACGAGGAAUUUUUCCUUUCUUCUCUUACCAGAUGUUGAAAUUAAAUUAGAUGAAGAAGGAUUUGUAUUGCCAUUCACAGUUAAUGAAGAUAUCCAUGAAAGGAUAGCACUGUGUAUUGAUGGUCCAAAAAGAUUUUGUUCCAAUAGCAAACACUUACUGGGACAAGAAGCUAUUAAACAAAGACACCUACGCUUACUUGGUUAUCAAGUUGUUCAGAUCCCCUAUUAUGAGAUUGGGAUGCUAAACUCAAGACGUGAAUUGGUGGAAUAUUUACAAAGAAAACUGUUUUCUCAAAACACUGUUCAUUGGUGACAAGAACGAAUACUGGCUUCAGAACCCAAACAAUGAAAGAACUUGCAUUUUUAUGGAACUCAGUAUUAAAAGAAGAAUACAAUGUGAAUUAGCCACUUCGCAGAAUAUGUUCUAGACUGGUGAUCUGGAAGCAUCUAUAGUUUUCCUUACACUAUAUAUACAUUUAUUGUGGUAAAAUGUAAAAUUAAUUUUAAUUUAAUACUAGUGUCACAGAUACUUUUUAUACAUCAAACAAAUGAUCAUGUGCAGUAAAGGAAUUCAAUGAAUAAAUGUUAUUUUUAAGUAUUUUGUCAUAGUUGUCUCCUAAAUGAAAGUAUUUUGCUCUUUAGAGACCUUUUGUUUUCUAACAGAUGUAAGGAAGAAAUUUUAUCUCUAUUCUGUGAGUGGAAGUGAGAUGUACUGUAAGGAAAAGGAGCAAUGAGAAAUAGAGUAUAGUGCUUUGGAUAUAAACAUAGAAUUAGGCAGAAACAAUCCUUUAGUUAAUAAGAUGUAUUAGUAUGGGAACUUUUUUUAAAUAAACAUUUAGAGAAAUGGAAAAGCAAUUUAGGUAGGUUUUUGGGGGAGGUGUUUGGAGGGAGGAUCUUCUAAAUUGUAUAUCAAGAAUGAAUUAAAUCAUCAUUAGUUCAUUGCAGAUCCUUCAUUGCCUCAUCACAGGUUACAGUUUCAAGGGAGAAGAGGUCAAGAGGGCCAACUGCAGUAGCAGAGCUUUGGGGUUGGACACUCAGACUUCACCACCAAGUAGUGCUGUGACCUUGGACAAGGACAGCUGCUGUGUAUCGUUCACUGACUGUGCUGAGCCCAUGCUGAGCGUGUUAGCAUGAUGCUUGUGUGGAUCUCACAUGCCUUCUGAUUUAGGUAUUGUUCCUAUUUUACAGAGAAGUAGGCUAGCUCAGGAUGAAUGUUCUACCUGAUACUUCAUUCAUCACUAGUGAUGAAUGUCAGAUUUGAAUCUGUCCCUAAGAAGCAAUAAAAUGUAGUGGCUAAAAAUUUAGGUUCAGGACUCCUACAGCUUGGAUUUGAGUUCUAACUAACUGUGACCUCAAGCUUUGGUUUCCUAAGAGCUACUCUUACAUUAUAAUGGGAUUUCUGUCUUAGUCCCUUUGGCUGCUGCAGCAAAGUACAAACUGGGUGACUUAAAACAACAGAGAUUUACUGUCACAUUGCUGGAGGCUGAAAAUCCAAAAUCAAGGUGUCAGCAGGCUAUGCUCCCCAUGAAACCUCUAGGGGAGAUCCUUUCUUGCUGCUUCCAGCUUCUGGUGGUGACAGACGUUCAUUAGUUUGUGGCAGUGUAACUUACCUGCUUCCGUCUUCACAUGCCAUCUUCCCUUUGUGUCUGUGUGGCCCUGUGUCUUCUCGUGGCCAUUAAUGUGCGUGUGUCUCUUUCUUCACAUGGUGUUCUCCUGGUUUGACUGUGUCCAGAUUUCCCUCUUACAGGGAUGCCAGCCAUAUUGGAUGAAGGCUUACUCUAAUGACCUUGUCUUGAUUGAAUCUCUAAGGUCCCUAUGUCCAAAUAAGGUCACAUUCUCACAGACUGGGUCAGGACUACGAUAUGUCUUUUUUGAAGGAGGGAGGAGGGACACAAUUGAACCUGUAACAGGUUGAAAUGAUAAUUAUAUAAAGCACUUAGAAAAGUGCCUUGCACAGAGUAAGCACACAGUGCGAGUUAGCUAGUAUUAGUCUGAAUGUCCACCCCAUCAUGCUUUUUACUUCACUUUACUUAUCUUUAGAAUAGGAAAUGGAAACUGGAUGAGCUAAGAUCACUUUUUGUCUUCAAUUAUAAAGAGAGACAAUGGAAGCAAAUGGAGAUUGAGCGGGAGAUAGGCACGGUAGAUUUUGAUGUACCCAUGUACCCAGCUGACCUUGCUGGUCAUUUGGGACCCGGCUUGGAAGGAUUCUCACAUCUCUCUGAAAUCUGAUUUACACUUUUUCUCAGCUCUUAGAUGACUUAAAACAGGCAUUCCUGACACUGAGCCUAAGAUCUGUUCCAGACCACAUCAGGCCUCAGAAACCCGUUUCACACCUCCUUGCAGCUAAUAUCCAGUCCUGUGUCUUUUCCUGCCUUUUGUGAACUCAGGUUCCCUCCUUGGCCUCUGGUCCACCCUCACUGUGCUAUACACCUCUCCUUAUGACUUAGCUAAUUCUUGGUGCGAAACUCAACCCAGAAAUGUGGUGUGAGGUUAACAGCAUACAGCUUAAGGAGCAGAGAGGGACUUAACCAAUUAAAGAGCCACACGAAGAGGUAAUGACGGUCUGUUAUAAAUGCUUUGAAGAAAAAUACAGCCUGAGCAUUCUUCACCUGUGCUGUUGAUGUAAGUCCAUCUCAUCCAUUGCAAGCUUUUCCCUCUUUACUCAUCAGAAUCAGAUGCUCUUCCUGCAGUUUUCGCUUGCAGCCUCGGCUGAGCCUGUCUCAUUUGGCUCUCCCCUACCGUCUUCACGUACGCAUUCAGCAGACACUCACAGCUCUGAUCAUGCUGGGGCCACUCAGUGCUCCAGGUCCAGGGCCAAGUAGGAAAAAGCCCCUGCCCUGGCGGGGCUUGAAGCAGGUGAGAUUAACGGGUUAGUGAGCAGGCGAUGGGAGUGGUGAGGACUCUGGCACCCCAACACACAGGCAAGACUCUGGGAACACAGAGACCUCAUGCCCGCCUGGGCAGUGAGAGAGAGCCUCACAGUGAUUUGUAAGCUGAGUUUUAGAAGGAAGAGAGCAGGGUCUGGGGACGCGAUUGUCAUGGCUGGAGCAUCCAGUGUAAAGCAUACAGGAUUGGCCCAGGGAGGGAAGCUAGACCUGCCUCUGGCUCUGUUCAAAUUUUAAUCCUGAAGUACGUGAAAAUAAUUUAGGCUAAUAGAGAAAUAUAAGGUUGCUGGUUUCACUAACGAGCGAAUUUGACAAGCUUUGUCAAAUCAUAAAGCUAAGUCUGAAUUAUCAGAGUUUGUCAAAUCAUAAAGCUAAACUGAAUUCUCAGGCUGAUGAAUUAAUUUGUAUGUCUAUACCUGUACAAGCAAAAGUGAUGUGAAUGUAUCAGUUGCAAUUACGUAUUCAAGAUGAUAGCUCUUGCAACUAUAUAUUUGAUAAUACUUUUAAUAAUUGCAUAACCUUGCUAUGUUUGUUUUCAAAAGUAAAGCAAAACAAGAAAAAUGAGUGAAAAAAAAUUGUUUUACUUGCUAGCACAACCCUUGCAGCAACAGUGAUAUUCUUUGGGCCUAUCAAUAGGGGGCAGCAAAGUUCAGGACUUUGGGCUGCCGCAGUUGAAACGAGAGGAUCUCUGUGGGAGAGAGUGGAUCCUCUCUGAAUGUGUGUUGUGAGUGUGUGUGUAGAUGGCAGGCAGGCAGGAGCUGGGGAAGAGUGUGGUAACAGUUCUGCCUGAACAACACAGACAGUUUUCUCUACCUUUCCUUACCUUCCUCUGUGUAAGGAAUGUGCUUCGCUUGGGUACAUGUGGACACUUGCUAAAUAUUUGUUAGGCGGAAGAAAAUACAGGAAGGAGAAAAAUUCAUCAAUUUGAUAGAAUUCUGGGAAAACAAGGAAGCAGUCAAUUCCUUCUUGGAAAAAAAAAAAAAAAGGUAUACC